GCUCGAUCACACAACAUCUCAGUGACUCAAACUGAACUUUCUACACUUUGUGUUCAGGUUGAAGGACACAGCUAACAGCUAGCCACAAGAUUUUGGGAUAAUAUUUAUGCACAAACACAAAUUGUGGCUUAAACAAGUCGUGUAUCAUUUAGAAGUUCCACUGUAUGAACCUAAAUGACCUUAAACCAUCCAUGUAAGUACUCACCAAAGAUGUUCAGUGAAAAUUUCUUCUUUCUUGUAAAGAUUUGUUUGGAAAAUGUUGGCGUCUGCUGCUCCAAGAAGUUUGUGCUCACACAGUGAAGUUCAUUGGAGAAGUGAAUCUUGUCAGUUUAAAGAUUCUGUGUUUACGUUUCAGGUUCUAGAACACUGCAGAGCAGCUAUGGUAACAUCACUUCUGAACAUUACAUUCCACUCCUGUCUGUUUCCAGCAUCUCCUCAUCCACUACCUUCAUCAUGGCCGGAUCAACCUCCUAGUAUUGAACCUGUGUGUGUGUACAGAGUCCACGCUUUUGCUCCAGAGGCGGGAUCAGAUGAUUGGUCUCCACCCCUGUAAUUGAACACCUGUGGGCCUUUACUGACCUGUUAUGCUGAUUAAGAUCCUGGCAAUAAAAGAUGGAAACGUCCAUCAAGCCAGUGCCAGAUUGCUGUAUCAGCAGCGGUAAUACUAAGCUCUGCUCCCUCUACAAACCUUCACCCACUCAGAUUGUUGUUGCUUCCACUGCAAAGCUACAGGCCCGGAGAGCAUCAGUCCCAGUAUCUCUUCAACCUGAGUGUGCUGCAGGAAAAGUGCCUUUAAUACCAUCCAACAACCACUGCUGCUCAGGAUGGUGUCACCACUUCUGCUGUCUCCUGGAUUGCUGACUAUCUAUCAGAGAGGCUUCAGUUUGUACGGCUUGGGGGGUGGGGAGGACUCUGUCUGAUGUGGUGGUUAGCAAUACUGGGGCACCACAGGGGACAGUUCUAUCUCCAUUCCUGUUUACCUUGUACACCUCAGAUUUCCAGUACAACAGUGAAACAUGACACCUGCACAAGUUCUCUGAUGACACUGCAAUGAUAGGGUGUAUUAAGUGUGGGCAGGAGUCGGAGUAAAGCGAGCUGGUGAGGAGUUUUGUGGAGUGGUCUAGCAGAAAUCACCUCCUUCUCAAUUUCAGUAAGACAAAAGAGAGGGUGGUUGACUUCCGGAGGAAUAAAACUGCGACUAAGCCCAUUAACAUCCUGGGGGAGGACGUGGAAAUGGUGGACAGCUACAGGUACCUGGGCGUUCACCUGAAUGACUGGACUGGAGGACCAACAGUGAUGC